UCCCUGGUGGCUAAGAGGUUAAAGCGUCUGCCUGCAAUGCAGGAGACCUGGGUUCGAUCCCUGGUUUGGGAA
rnacentral:tRNA from 1 species